GAACAUCUUGCACCAGUCAUGACCCUUCUCCUUGGCAUGUUUUACAGAACGGAGUCACAAAACAAAAUGGAGUCCCAUUUGCUUUUACUAUCACAGUGCUUUGCCACCAAGCAAGUCACCAGGAUUACCUUUUCCUUCUAAAUUUCCGAGUAAAGUGCAGGAAAAUGUUUAAUAUGAAGGUCAAACACAGCCAGUGCUCCAGCCCAGUAAACAAUGAAGAACAGAGGGAAAAUACAACUUCUAUUUUACUGGAAUCUGAGUUAAUAAAUAGGGACCACAGAACAAAGAGCAAAUAACUACUUGAGUAACAUCAGAAUGAAUAAAGAAAGGAUGAACCUGGA